CUUUAUUUUAGUUAGCAUGUGAAAUACAUCAGUCCAAGCAAAAUUAUACAUAUUCCUCUAUCUUGAGUUUCUCACAUUUUUGAGCAGCUGGGGGAUAUCCUUCAUCUUCCAUAUUGCUUAUUUUCUGUCUUUAUUGCAGUUGUUCAAAUACCUGAUUCCUUCUCUGGUUCUUCAGUCACAAUAAUUUGAUGGAAGCAUUUCCCUGCUGGAAGAGCAGCAUUUCCCCUUUCUACCUCAUGUCCGUAUUUCCUGUUCCUAUGUGUGUCCUUGCAUUCACCUCUUUGGCCUUUCUCUUUUCAAAAGGCUCUACCAGAACUUUUUUCUUUGGCUCUGUCUCUGAAGAAAUGCUAAUGAUGUAGACCCCAAUGUGUCACAAAGGAGCUUUCCCCUAAGCUUCAGCUAUCCUAUUGUUUUGUCUGACCAAGUCUAUUCACAAGAUAAUAGCACUUAAUGAGUCCCUCUCUCUCCCUCUCCUUCCCACAGACAGACUUGUAGACGCCACUCUUUGGUUUUUUAGCAGAAGCAGUCACUACAAAGGCAUGUCUACAUUGUAGUCAGAUCUAUGAUUGCAUCACAUGCAGACUUGAGUUACCUUUACAGUACUCCCAGUACCUUGCUGGGUUACUGGGAGCCAUUCUGUCAACACCAGGAAACUGCGUGCUUACCUAUGCCCUUAACCUGUGCUAAGCUACCUGCAACUCCAUUUCUAUUUGCAACUGGUUUCCCUCAAGUAUAUUCCUACAGUACUGAGAAAGCAAGGAUGAAUGGAAGACCAGAAAUGGAAAACAGAGUAGACAAGAGGACACCUCAGAGUGAACCCUGAACAUUGUUCUUCUUCAAACACCUUCCCAGGAAGAGACAAUUUUCAUCCUGCAAAUAAUUAUGAGGACCAGUCAUCAUCUAAAUGAAAUUUCUUCAUUAAAAUCUAUGUCUUCUAAUUUCUCGGUUUGAAAAUAUGUGGGAGUUAUUUUGUUUUUUUUUUUUUAAUCAAACAAGUCCAUCACCUUUCCAUACUUGAAAGGGAAACUCCAACAAAAAAUGCUUGCAGGU
rnacentral:lncRNA from 14 species